rnacentral:rRNA from 1 species
AGUGAGCGCUGGCGGUAGGCCUAACACAUGCCAGUCGAACGGCAGCACAGUAAGAGCUUGCUCUUACGGGUGGCGAGUGGCGGACGGGUGAGGAAUACAUCGGAAUCUACUUAUUCGUGGGGGAUAACGUAGGGAAACUUACGCUAAUACCGCAUACGACCUACGGGUGAAAGCAGGGGAUCUUCGGACCUUGCGCGAUUGAAUGAGCCGAUGUCGGAUUAGCUAGUUGGCGGGGUAAAGGCCCACCAAGGCGACGAUCCGUAGCUGGUCUGAGAGGAUGAUCAGCCCAAGUGGAACUGAGACACGGCCCAGCCUCCUACGGGGGGCAGGAGGGGGGAAUAUGGGAAAAUGGGCGCAAGCCUGAUCCAGCCAUACCGGGGGGGGGAAGAAGGCCUUCGGGUUGUAAAGCCCUUUUUUUGGGAAAAAAAAGCAGCAGGUUAAUCCCCCGCUGUUCUGACGGGACCAAAAGAAUAAGCACCGGCUAACUUCGU